AAGUGUUUUCAGGGAAUGGUGAAAAUCCUUACCGGUGGUGAUAGUCCACGAGUUAGCUUAAUUGCUUACAGAUUCGGUGCAAUUCCGAAACCGACAGUAAAGUCUGGAUGGGAGAAAACGUUU
rnacentral:ncRNA from 2 species